AGGAGCUGUGUGAAAUUAAAGUUUCACGCACAGUUUUGAAUGAGAGAAAAUAAUGAGUAAUCUUCUUUUCGAUUCUAAC
rnacentral:ncRNA from 1 species